GGGCGGUGCCUGUUGAGGCGCCCGAACUAUAAAUGUUGGUGGGCGGCGACGCUCCGCCUUUCGCUCUGCCUAGAGGGGUCGGGGUAACGCUGGAGGCACGACGGGAGCCGCCGGCCUGGGACCUAUGCCCUGGAGACCUGCUGGCCCAUUGCCAGCUGAUUGGCUCGGUGUAAAGGGUGAGGAGAACGGUUAAUAAAACAGUAGAAAAAAUUGUCUGUUUCUUUAUUGUGCUCUCCAGCACUGUCUUUGAACUGGUGAAGUGGCCAACUCAUAGCUUCACUGGCUAAGCAACAGUGCAACAGGAAAAGCUUGUUCAUAACUGGUGCUGCUUAGUUAAAAUCUGAGUGGCUCUUUUAAGAGCAAGUAACAAUCCUGUUACUGUACUGCUUAAAUCUUAAAGACUAUAAUUAAAUUCCCCCUUUGCUGAAUGAAAUUUCCUCUUCCUAGAGGCCUCCUACUGUUGGCAGUGAGGACACUGGAAAGACAAACACCUGUCUCAUUAAAGUUAAGAUCUCUCCUUG